GAUGAACGCUGGCGGCGUGCCUAAUACAUGCAAGUCGAGCGAACAGACGAGGAGCUUGCUCCUCUGACGUUAGCGGCGGACGGGUGAGUAACACGUGGAUAACCUACCUAUAAGACUGGGAUAACUUCGGGAAACCGGAGCUAAUACUGGAUAAUAUAUUGAACCGCAUGGUUCAAUAGUGAAAGACGGUUUUGCUGUCACUUAUAGAUGGAUCCGCGCCGCAUUAGCUAGUUGGUAAGGUAACGGCUUACCAAGGCAACGAUGCGUAGCCGACCUGAGAGGGUGAUCGGCCACACUGGAACUGAGACACGGUCCAGACUCCUACGGGAGGCAGCAGUAGGGAAUCUUCCGCAAUGGGCGAAAGCCUGACGGAGCAACGCCGCGUGAGUGAUGAAGGUCUUCGGAUCGUAAAACUCUGUUAUUAGGGAAGAACAAAUGUGUAAGUAGCUAUGCACGUCUUGACGGUACCUAAUCAGAAAGCCACGGCUAACUACGUG
rnacentral:rRNA from 1 species